rnacentral:rRNA from 1 species
CUGGCUACGAGGACGACGGCUGGCGGACGUGCUUAACACAUGCAAGUCGAACGAGAUUAAGUUGGAAGCUUGCUUUUAACUAGUCGAGUGGCGGACGGGUGAGUAACGCGUGAAUAAUCUGUCCUAUACAGGGGGAUAACGCAUCGAAAGAUGUGCUAAUACCACGUAGGACCACAGCAUCGCAUGGUGCAGGGGUGAAAGGAGCAAUCCAGUAUAGGGUGAGUUCGCGUCUGAUUAGAUAGUUGGUGAGGUAACGGCCCACCAAGUCAACGAUACAGUAGCCGACCUGAGAGGGUGAUCGGCCACAUUGGGACUGAGACACGGCCCAGACUCCUACGGGAGGCAGCAGUGGGGAAUAUUGGGCAAUGGGCGAAAGCCUGACCCAGCAACGCCGCGUGAAGGAAGAAGGUUUUCGGAUUGUAAACUUCUGUACCUAUGUGAAGAGGAAGAGACGGUAGCAUAGGAGGAAGCCCCGGCUAACUACGUGCCAGCCGCGGC